GUAGGGUACGUUUAACAAUCCCUUCCCCCUUAAAAACACCCGUGACAUUUGCUAACAUAGUUUCUAGUGAACCUGCGGAAGGAUCAUUACCGAGUAAGGGUCUUCCAGGCCCGACCUCCAACCCUUGCUUAACCAACCACGUUGCUUUGGCGGGCCCGCCCUCUGGGGCCGCCGGGGGCUUUACCGCCCCUGGCCCGUGCCCGCCGGUAGCCAUCUUAAAUUCUGAUAACUGUGCCGUCUGAGUAUAGAU
rnacentral:misc_RNA from 1 species